AUUGAACGCUGGCGGCAGGCCUAACACAUGCAAGUCGAGCGAGCGGCGGACGGGUGAGUAAUGUAUGGGGACUGCCCGAUAGAGGGGGAUAACUACUGGAAACGGUAGCUAAUACCGCAUACUAUCGGAUAACCCAUAUGGGAUUAGCUAGUAGGUGAGGUAAUGGCUCACCUAGGCGACGAUCCCUAGCUGGUCUGAGAGGAUGAUCAGCCACACGGGAACUGUGACACGGCCCAGGGUCCUACGGAGGGAGGAGUGGAGAAUAUUUCACCAUGGGCGCAAGCCUGAUGCAGCCAUGCCGCGUGUAUGAGGGAGGCCAUAGGGUUGUAAAGUAGUUUCAGACGGGAGGCGUUACCGACAGAAGAAGCGCCGGCUAACUCCGUGCCAGCAGCCGCGGUAAUUC
rnacentral:rRNA from 1 species